UGGGAAGCCCACCUCAAGAUGAGACAUCCCUGAGGGUUUAACCCUCUUGAAGGCACCAGGAAGACUACCUGGUUGAUAGGCUGGAAGUGUAAGCUCUGUAAGGGGUUCAGCUGACCAGUACUAAUCCGCCGUAAGGCUUGACCAU
rnacentral:rRNA from 1 species